rnacentral:rRNA from 1 species
GUGCUAAUCUGCGAUAAGCGCCGGUAAGGUGAUAUGAACCGUUAUAACCGGCGAUACCCGAAUGGGGAAACCCAGUGUGAUUCGUCACACUAUCAUUAACUGAAUCCAUAGGUUAAUGAGGCGAACCGGGGGAACUGAAACAUCUAAGUACCCCGAGGAAAAGAAAUCAACCGAGAUUCCCCCAGUAGCGGCGAGCGAACGGGGAGGAGCCCAGAGCCUGAAUCAGCAUGUGUGUUAGUGGAAGCGUCUGGAAAGGCGCGCGAUACAGGGUGACAGCCCCGUACACAAAAGCGCAUGUGCUGUGAGCUCGAUGAGUAGGGCGGGACACGUGGUAUCCUGUCUGAAUAUGGGGGGACCAUCCUCCAAGGCUAAAUACUCCUGACUGACCGAUAGUGAACCAGUACCGUGAGGGAAAGGCGAAAAGAACCCCGGCGAGGGGAGUGAAAAAGAACCUGAAACCGUGUACGUACAAGCAGUGGGAGCACCCUUUGGGUGUGACUGCGUACCUUUUGUAUAAUGGGUCAGCGACUUAUAUUCUGUAGCAAGGUUAACCGAAUAGGGGAGCCGGAGGGAAACCGAGUCUUAAUUGGGCGUUAAGUUGCAGGGUAUAGACCCGAAACCCGGUGAUCUAGCCAUGGGCAGGUUGAAGGUUGGGUAACACUAACUGGAGGACCGAACCGACUAAUGUUGAAAAAUUAGCGGAUGACCUGUGGCUGGGGGUGAAAGGCCAAUCAAACCGGGAGAUAGCUGGUUCUCCCCGAAAGCUAUUUAGGUAGCGCCUCGUGAAUUCAUCUCCGGGGGUAGAGCACUGUUUCGGCUAGGGGGCCAUCCCGGCUUACCAACCCGAUGCAAACUGCGAAUACCGGAGAAUGUUAUCACGGGAGACACACGGCGGGUGCUAACGUCCGUCGUGAAGAGGGAAACAACCCAGACCGCCAGCUAAGGUCCCAAAGUCAUGGUUAAGUGGGAAACGAUGUGGGAAGGCCCAGACAGCCAGGAUGUUGGCUUAGAAGCAGCCAUCAUUUAAAGAAAGCGUAAUAGCUCACUGGUCGAGUCGGCCUGCGCGGAAGAUGUAACGGGGCUAAACCAUGCACCGAAGCUGCGGCAGCGACACUGUGUGUUGUUGGGUAGGGGAGCGUUCUGUAAGCCUGUGAAGGUGUGUCGUGAGGCAUGCUGGAGGUAUCAGAAGUGCGAAUGCUGACAUAAGUAACGAUAAAGCGGGUGAAAAGCCCGCUCGCCGGAAGACCAAGGGUUCCUGUCCAACGUUAAUCGGGGCAGGGUGAGUCGACCCCUAAGGCGAGGCCGAAAGGCGUAGUCGAUGGGAAACGGGUUAAUAUUCCCGUACUUGGUGUUACUGCGAAGGGGGGACGGAGAAGGCUAUGUUGGCCGGGCGACGGUUGUCCCGGUUUAAGCGUGUAGGUGUGUGUUCCAGGUAAAUCCGGUUCACUUUAACACUGAGGCGUGACGACGAGGCACUACGGUGCUGAAGCAACAAAUGCCCUGCUUCCAGGAAAAGCCUCUAAGCAUCAGGUAACAUCAAAUCGUACCCCAAACCGACACAGGUGGUCAGGUAGAGAAUACCAAGGCGCUUGAGAGAACUCGGGUGAAGGAACUAGGCAAAAUGGUGCCGUAACUUCGGGAGAAGGCACGCUGACACGUAGGUGAAGUGAUUUACUCAUGGAGCUGAAGUCAGUCGAAGAUACCAGCUGGCUGCAACUGUUUAUUAAAAACACAGCACUGUGCAAACACGAAAGUGGACGUAUACGGUGUGACGCCUGCCCGGUGCCGGAAGGUUAAUUGAUGGGGUCAGCGCAAGCGAAGCUCCUGAUCGAAGCCCCGGUAAACGGCGGCCGUAACUAUAACGGUCCUAAGGUAGCGAAAUUCCUUGUCGGGUAAGUUCCGACCUGCACGAAUGGCGUAAUGAUGGCCAGGCUGUCUCCACCCGAGACUCAGUGAAAUUGAACUCGCUGUGAAGAUGCAGUGUACCCGCGGCAAGACGGAAAGACCCCGUGAACCUUUACUAUAGCUUGACACUGAACAUUGAGCCUUGAUGUGUAGGAUAGGUGGGAGGCUUUGAAGUGUGGACGCCAGUCUGCAUGGAGCCGACCUUGAAAUACCACCCUUUAAUGUUUGAUGUUCUAACGUGGACCCGUUACCCGGGUUGCGGACAGUGUCUGGUGGGUAGUUUGACUGGGGCGGUCUCCUCCUAAAGAGUAACGGAGGAGCACGAAGGUUGGCUAAUCCUGGUCGGACAUCAGGAGGUUAGUGCAAUGGCAUAAGCCAGCUUGACUGCGAGCGUGACGGCGCGAGCAGGUGCGAAAGCAGGUCAUAGUGAUCCGGUGGUUCUGAAUGGAAGGGCCAUCGCUCAACGGAUAAAAGGUACUCCGGGGAUAACAGGCUGAUACCGCCCAAGAGUUCAUAUCGACGGCGGUGUUUGGCACCUCGAUGUCGGCUCAUCACAUCCUGGGGCUGAAGUAGGUCCCAAGGGUAUGGCUGUUCGCCAUUUAAAGUGGUACGCGAGCUGGGUUUAGAACGUCGUGAGACAGUUCGGUCCCUAUCUGCCGUGGGCGCUGGAGAACUGAGGGGGGCUGCUCCUAGUACGAGAGGACCGGAGUGGACGCAUCACUGGUGUUCGGGUUGUCAUGCCAAUGGCACUGCCCGGUAGCUAAAUGCGGAAGAGAUAAGUGCUGAAAGCAUCUAAGCACGAAACUUGCCCCGAGAUGAGUUCUCCCUGAGACUUA